GGGGCGGUAGCUCAGCAGGUUAGAGCAGAGGACUCAUAAUCCUCCGGUCCCGGGUUCGAGCCCCGGCCGCCCCA
rnacentral:tRNA from 1 species